UCCCUGGUGGUCUAGUGGUUAGGACCUGAUGCUUUCAUAACUAUGGCCUGGGUUCAAUCCCUGGUUGGGGAA
rnacentral:tRNA from 1 species